rnacentral:sRNA from 2 species
ACUGCACCCACUUACACCAACUUGACAACAACCUCACACACUUCAAUGCUGUCCAAGGAAGACAUAACAAUUAUAGGCAGAACUACAUGCCUACUAACACACCAACUGCACCAGCUGCCCCUGCAGAUAUCAUGGAUUGAACCUCUUAUGUGAGCACAGAACAAUCAAAGAUACCUGGCCUCUCUGAAUAAGAAAUUACUGAUUGAAUCACCUGAGGCAUCUGCAUUCAUUGCAACAAGUCAGAGCACUUCACAAGCCAGUGCAUCAAUGCAGUAGCUUCUGCCUCUAUACCCACAAAUGAAUAAGAACAGGGAAAAGAAGAGCUCUCACUCUAAAAUGUGAAUGAGAGCUCAAGAAGCAAGAAGCUAGCUGAAGGUUCAAGUAGA